UGCUUUAGAGACUGGCUGUUCU
rnacentral:miRNA from 1 species